rnacentral:rRNA from 1 species
AACGAACGCUGGCGGCAUGCCUAACACAUGCAAGUCGAACGAGACCUUCGGGUCUAGUGGCGCUCGGGUGCGUAACGCGUGGGAACCUGCCCUUAGGUUCGGAAUAACUCCCCGAAGGGUGUGCUAAUACCGGAUAAUGUAUUCGGACCAAAGAUUUAUCGCCUUUGGAUGGGCCCGCGUUGGUUUAGCUAGUUGGUAGGGUAAAAGCAUACCAAGGCGACGAUGCAUAGCUGGUCUGAGAGGAUGCUCAGCCACACUGGGAAUGAGGCACGGACCAGUCUCCGACGGGAGGGAGCAGUAGAGAAUAUUGUACGAGGGGCGCAAGUGUGAUAACGCCAUGUGGCGUGUGUGAUGAAGCCGUUAGUGUUGCAAAGCUCUUUGACCCGGGACGAUAAUGACAGUAAUGGGAGAAUAAGCACCGGCUAACUCCGUG